rnacentral:rRNA from 1 species
UACGAAGGGUGCAAGCGUUACUCGGAAUUACUGGGCGUAAAGCGUGCGUAGGUGGUUUGUUAAGUCUGAUGUGAAAGCCCUGGGCUCAACCUGGGAAUGGCAUUGGAUACUGGCAGUCUAGAGUGCGGUAGAGGGUAGCGGAAUUCCCGGUGUAGCAGUGAAAUGCGUAGAGAUCGGGAGGAACACCUGUGGCGAAGGCGGCCGACUGGGCCGACCCUGACGCUGAGGCGCGAAGGCGUGGGGAGCGAACGGG